UACGUAGGGUGCGAGCGUUGUCCGGAAUCACUGGGCGUAAAGGGCGCGUAGGUGGCCUGGUAAGUAGGGGGUGAAAUCCUGUGGCUUAACUGCAGGACGGCCUCCUAGACUGCUAGGCUUGAGCACGGUAGAGGCUGGUGGAAUUCCCGGUGUAGCGGUGGAAUGCGUAGAGAUCGGGAAGAACAUCGGUGGCGAAGGCGGCCAGCUGGGCCGUUGCUGACACUGAGGCGCGACAGCGUGGGGAGCAAACAGG
rnacentral:rRNA from 1 species